rnacentral:lncRNA from 1 species
GGACACUGGGUUCCCUACGAGCUGCCCCAGGCUUAAUGAUUGUCCAGAAGGUGGCUAUAAAGGGAGCCUGGGAGGCUGGGUGGAGGAGGGAACAGAGAAAGCCUAACUCAGCAGAUCUGGUCACUGAGAGAGCCACAGGCAGGAGCUGUGGUCGGAGGCUUCGUGUCUUGGCCAGUGGGGCCUGCUCCCUUCCACCAUGGCCGCCCAAGGCUACGGCUAUUACCGCGCUGUGAUCUUCUCAGCCAUGUUUGGAGGCUACAGCCUGUACUACUUCAACCGCAAGACCUUCUCCUUUGUCAUGCCAUCGUUGGUGGAGGAGAUCCCUCUGGACAAGGACGACUUGGGUGAGCCACGGAAGGGCAGGGUGGUGGGCCCUGGGACCCAGGACCCGUAGGACAAGUUGGUGUUGGUGGCAGUGUUGUGCAUAAAGGCACGUAGCGUGUGUGGAGCGUCUGCACAGUGGAGGGUAGGGAGAGUCGGCACACGCCGACCGGACUCUGAAAACCAUACGCCUGGCUGUGGGCUAAGCACCAGGAGUGUCGUCGAUACGCGUCUGAGGAGGGCUGCCUAUGUGAUGUGUCUUUGUGUGCCUGUGACCCACACGUGCCCCCACAGGUCUGGCUUAUUCCGAGUAUGUUUAGGGGGCUUCUGGGCAUGGUUUCCACACCUCGUGGGUGCGUGCUAAGACCACAGGGUGCACGCUGGCCACUGACGUCGUAAGCAAUGGGAACUGGAGACUUGGCACAGAAACUUCACGUGGCCCCGCACGCUACAUUUCAGGGGGAAUAACGUCCUUGAUUCCAAUUCUAAGCUCUUUGCCCCAUGCCCAGAGGUGGGGGUGACGGAACUGCUAGAAGCCCUGGGUCGGCAUCCAGGGUGAGGAGGAAAUGUAAUCAGGCAUGGGUAGAUCCCAGGGUGGGGCUGCCCUGUUCUCCCCUUCUUGCCCCCUGACAGCUGCAGCUGGAACUCUCCAGGUUGAAAAGUCAAGGGUCAGCCUGGGGCUAGCGCCGGCGGUGAGGAGGGGUAGCGGCGCCCCUGAAAGGGUGCUGGGAUUCCAACACAGGCUGCUUCUGGUCCCCUUGGAAGGAACCUAUCUCACCCUGCCAGGCACCUCUACACACGUGACCCCAUGCCUUCCUCCAUCCCUCCUGUGCCCUUGCCCUGGCCCCUAACCCCCUAGGUGUGCUGCUUCCUGCUCCCCUCCCCUGCAGGGCUCAUCACCAGCAGCCAGUCGGCAGCCUACGCCAUCAGCAAGUUUGUGAGCGGGGUGCUGUCUGACCAGAUGAGUGCCCGCUGGCUCUUCUCUUCUGGGCUGCUUCUGGUCGGCCUGGUCAACGUAGUCUUUUCCUGGAGCUCCAUGGUACCUGUCUUUGCUGCUCUCUGGUUCCUCAAUGGCC